GAUGAAGCCCACUUGUGGGUGGAUUAGUGGCGAACGGGUGAGUAACACGUGAGUAACCUGCCCUUGACUCUGGGAUAAGCCUGGGAAACUGGGUCUAAUACCGGAUAUGACUGAUCAUCGCAUGGUGGUUGGUGGAAAGCUUUUUGUGGUUUUGGAUGGACUCGCGGCCUAUCAGCUUGUUGGUGAGGUAAUGGCUUACCAAGGCGACGACGGGUAGCCGGCCUGAGAGGGUGACCGGCCACACUGGGACUGAGACACGGCCCAGACUCCUACGGGAGGCAGCAGUGGGGAAUAUUGCACAAUGGGCGCAAGCCUGAUGCAGCGACGCCGCGUGAGGGAUGACGGCCUUCGGGUUGUAAACCUCUUUCAGUAGGGAAGAAGCGAAAGUGACGGUACCUGCAGAAGAAGCGCCGGCUAACUACGUGCCAGCAGCCGCGGUAAUACGUAGGGCGCAAGCGUUAUCCGGAAUUAUUGGGCGUAAAGAGCUCGUAGGCGGUUUGUCGCGUCUGCCGUGAAAGUCCGGGGCUCAACUCCGGAUCUGCGGUGGGUACGGGCAGACUAGAGUGAUGUAGGGGAGACUGGAAUUCCUGGUGUAGCGGUGAAAUGCGCAGAUAUCAGGAGGAACACCGAUGGCGAAGGCAGGUCUCUGGGCAUUAACUGACGCUGAGGAGCGAAAGCAUGGGGAGCGAACAGGAUUAGAUACCCUGGUAGUCCAUGCCGUAAACGUUGGGCACUAGGUGUGGGGGACAUUCCACGUUUUCCGCGCCGUAGCUAACGCAUUAAGUGCCCCGCCUGGGGAGUAC
rnacentral:rRNA from 1 species